rnacentral:misc_RNA from 1 species
GGCAAAGCUUCUCUCAUAAAGCUGUGAGUUUUCAUCAAAUCAUUAGAAUGAGUUCUCAGAAUUAUGAUAUUCUUCUGUGUUUGGUUAGAAUGCGAAUGCCCAUGCUCACAAUAUUUUAGUUCUGGUGCAUAGGUUUCAUGAUAUUAUGAUCCCUUCUGAACUUUCUAUGAUUUUCUAUGAUUUUAAGUGAGAUGGUGACUGAAAAUUGUGAAUGAAAACAGGAAGAGCAGGCUUCUUUCUUGUCA